rnacentral:rRNA from 1 species
UACGUAGGCAGCGAGCGUUGUUCGGAGUUACUGGGCGUAAAGAGUGCGUAGGCGGUUUUCUAAGUUUGGUGUGGAAUCUCCCGGCUUAACUGGGAGGGUGCGCCGAAGACUGGAAGGCUGGAGUAUGGGAGAGGUAAGCGGAAUUCCUGGUGUAGCGGUGAAAUGCGUAGAUAUCAGGAGGAACACCUGCGGUGUAGACGGCUUACUGGACCAUAACUGACGCUGAGGCACGAAAGCGUGGGUAGCAAACAGG